rnacentral:lncRNA from 1 species
UCCCUUCAAAGUCACUUUAUCAAAAUCUGCACUAGAUGGACUCCAAUUUCUUGACCACACUCCAAGGUAUCGUCUUCAGAGGCAUGUAAUAAAUAGAAACAUUGGCCACAAUGUUUUUAAUGAGAGCAAGUCUCCUCCCCCUUCGAUAGGAGAUUUCUCUUCCAUCCUGCCAACUGCUAUUCAAAAUGUGCAACCACCAGAUCCCGAGUCAAAACAUUCUUAUAUUUGACUCCCAAAGAUAACUUCAAAUACUUUAUCGACAAUCCUAUACAUUUACAUCCGAGAAUACUAGCCAAACUACAAGCAUCCUUCCCCUCACCUAGUCUCACCACUUCGGACUUAGCAAGAUUGAUGUUGAGUCAUGAAACUACUUGGAAGCUUAACAGAAUACAUUUGAUGUUUAGUAAAGUUCUUUUACUCAAUUCAUAGAAAAGAAACGUGUCUUCAACAAAGAAAAGGUGGUUCACCUCCUCCACACGCUCUCCAUCUCCUACCUUCAAUCCCUUAAAUAGCUCAAAAUAUCUGGCCCUCAAAUGCAUUUUAUUAAGAGCUUCCAUAACUAUGAUAAACACUAAGGAGCGACAAAGGAUCAUCUUGUCUGAGUCCUUUGUUAGUUAUGAAGAAAAAAGAUGGUCUCCCAUCAACUAUGGCAACAAAGGAGAUUGUUAAAAUACAUUUCCUAAUCCACUCUGUCGUUUAUCCUCAAAGCCCAUCAUUUUCACCAUACAAUCAAGAAGAAGUUCCAGUUCACAUGGUCCUAGGUUUUUUCUAUAUCAAGUUUGCAUAAAAUGCCCUGACGAUUCUUUUGUUUUAGCUCAUCAACAAUCUCAUCAGCAAUUAGAGCUACAUCCAAAAUUUGUCUGCCCAUCAUAAAAGCAUAUGUUGACACUCACCCACCACUUUUCCCAUAAUCUUUUCAUUCUCCUUGUUAGUACUUUAACAAUGAGUUCAUACAUACACUCCAUGAGGCUAAUAGGUCUGAAUUCUUUGUACUUGUCGCCCCCUCAACUUUGGAGAUAAGUAUCAAGAAAGUGGAAUUUAAACUUCUGAUAAAAAACAUGGAAUUUAUUGAAAAGCUUGAUGAUGUCAUCCAUGCCAACACUUCUGGAGAAAAGCUCAUAUUGAAACCAUCAAGCUCUGGAGCUUUAUCCUUCCUAGAACGCAUAA